rnacentral:rRNA from 1 species
UGGGUAAUCUUGUGAAACUUCAUCGUGAUGGGGAUAGAGCAUUGCAACUUAUUGCUCUUAAACGAGGAAUCCCUAGUAAGCAUGAGUCAUCAGCUCGGGCUGAUUACGUCCCUGCCCUUUGUACACACCGCCCGUCGCUACUACCGAUUGAAUGGCUUAGUGAGACCCUUGGAUCGACGAGUGGAAACCCUCACGGGUAUCUAUUUGUUGAGAAGUUGGUCAAACUUGGUCAUUUAGAGGAAGUAAAAGUCGUAACAAGGUUUCCGUAGGUGAACCUGCGGAAGGAUCAUUAAAAAAAUGAGGUAUUUUAUACCUCUUGUAUUUAAAACCCAGUUCUUUUAAAAUAUAAAUUUUUAUUAAAAAAAAAAAACUUUCAACAAUGGAUCUCUUGGCUCUCGCAUCGAUGAAGAACGCAGCAAAAUGCGAUAAGUAAUAUGAAUUGCAGAAUUCCGUGAAUCAUCAAAUCUUUGAACGCAAAUUGCACUUCUUGGUAUUCCGAGGAGUACACAUGCUUGAGGGUCAGUUAAAAAAAAAUCGUGCAUCAUUGAUGUUGCGGAUCUGGGUAUUCCGAUUUUGUAAAUUGGUUACCUAAAAUUAAUAUGGAUAUGUAAUGUGAAGCGUACUAAUUAUAUAGUCGCUAACCAUUUAUACUUAUUACAUUACAACUAUACGACUAAGUAUUUAGUUGGUGUAUAAAUUAUAAGAAUGACCUCAAGUCAUGUGAGAGUACCCGCUGAACUUAAGCAUAUCAAUAAGCGGAGGAAAAGAAACUAACAAGGAUUCCCCUAGUAACGGCGAGUGAAGCGGGAAGAGCACAGAAUUAAAAUCUACCUGGUUUUCAGGUCGAGUUGUAAUUUGAAGAUACGUUUUUGAUGUUCCUGGUUGAACUAAAUCCUUUGGGAUAAGGUAUCAUAGAGGGUGAGAAUCCCGUUUAUACCAACCACAGGGAUGUUAUUUAAUAACGUUUCUAAGAGUCGAGUUGUUUGGGGAUGCAGCUCUAAAUGGGUGGUAAAUUUCACCUAAUGCUAAAUAUAAGCGAGAGACCGAUAGCGAACAAGUACAGUGAUGGAAAGAUGAAAAGAACUUUGAAAAGAGAGUUAAAUAGUACUUGAAAUUGUUGAAAGGGAAACGAUUAAAGUCAGUCAUGCCGACGGGAAUCAACUUAGGGGAAACUCUGGGUGCACUUCUUCGUUUGGCAGGUUAGUGUCGAUUUUGGAUGUCAUAAAAUAACUGGGGGAAGGUAGCUCUUUCGGGAGUGUUAUAGCCCUUGGUAGAUGUGAUGUCUGGGAUCGAGGAUUGCAACGGAUACCUUUCGGGGCUAACCGCCUGAUCUCUAAUUGGUGUUGGGUUAUGGACAGCAUGCUGACCGUGAUCUAAUUACUGGUUAAAAGGUUAGAGCGUGUAUAAAUUUGUUAAGGACGCUGACGUAAUGGCUUUAAACGACCCGUCUUGAAACACGGACCAAGGAGUCUAACAUGUGUGCGAGUGU